CAGAAUGACGUCAGGGUGAUACAGAGAUACAGAACGGCGUCCAUCUUUGAUUUGAUACAGAUAUUAUCAUCUCUACAGAGGAUGAAAUCCAUAAAUAAAUAUUAUUUGAAUAAUUCUCUAUUAUAUCAGUGUUUAAUGAUAUUUAGAUAGUUUUUAAUAUUGGUUUCAAUUGACCUACAGAUUUUUUGGUUAUUUUUUUUUGACUGAAAAUUGUACUCAACUCAAAAUGAAUUGAGGUUAUGAAAAUAUUAACCAUCGAUAACCAAUUUUUGGAAUUUUUAGUCUGAAUCUAAAUUUAAAAGAGGAAUAGGACAGUUUUUAUCUCAUCUCUCCGAUCAUUUUGAUUUAAAUUAUAUGUGGAAAUAAUUAAAGAAUGAAACUGUUAAUUUGGUAAACAGAUACAGGAAUUUGGAGUUGCUUGGUAUGGAUUGUAAGACACAGAAGAAGACGCAUUUAGAUGUUUUUGGAUCUUGAAUCUUGAUGCUCACAGAAAAGCAAGUCAACCAGACAGGCUCUGAAAAUUGAUGAAAUGGAACAAAUUAUUUGGACAAGACACUAGAAAAAUUCUACUCGGUCGGUUUUGAAAUCAUACCUCAAGAAACUUGCGAGAUCUUCGUCUGCACUGCACUAGCAUUUCAGGGUUUGUUGGAGGCGAACGACAUCCACAACAAUGGGAUAGCGGGGUUCGGGCGCCAACCCGACAGUGACAGUGGUGCACUGCGAGAUCCACCACGGACAGACGGGUGGCUUGUACGGGCUCGGCCAGUUCAUCGACAACCGCAUCCAUUCCCACAGCAACCCCACCGCAACGAGAUCUACAACGGCCAUCAGGGUGGCGUCUUCAUCUUGGGCGAAGGCCGCGGCUUGAUCGAGCAUAACAAUAUCUAUGUGACUCAAUGUGGAUUGUGAAGACACAGAAGGGGACGCAUUUGGAUCUUGAAUCAUGAAUGUUGAAUCUUGAUGCUCACAGAAAAGGAAGUCAACCAGACAGGAUUGAGACCACAAUAGGAGGCAUAAAGUCCCUUGAUAAUUUUGAAAACAGAGACGUUAUAGUGAGGUCCACGUUAUAAUGGCAGUGGAGGAAAGUAGGAGAACAACGUUGCCAAUUAUCUGCCUUGCCACUGCCUUCUGAAGAGGAUAGCUUGGUCAAUUUUACCACCAACUUUGGUCAAUAUCUAUAGUUAGUUCCUAAAGGUAGUGGAGAAAA